rnacentral:piRNA from 1 species
UGAGUUUUCUAAAAAAGGAAGAUAGCAGG